UACGUAGGGUGCGAGCGUUGUCCGGAAUUAUUGGGCGUAAAGAGCUUGUAGGCGGUUCCGUAAGUCCGCUCUGAAAGCCCAGGGCUCAACCCUGGGAGGCGGGUGGAUACUACGGAACUGGAGUACGGAAGAGGAGAUUGGAAUUCCUGGUGUAGCGGUGAAAUGCGCAGAUAUCAGGAGGAACACCAACAGCGAAGGCAGAUCUCUGGGACGUUACUGACGCUGAGACGCGAAAGCGUGGGGAGCAAACAGG
rnacentral:rRNA from 1 species